rnacentral:piRNA from 1 species
UAGGUUUGAUGAACCUCAGUGCCCACUGACG